rnacentral:tRNA from 1 species
GGAGAGUUGGCAGAGCGGUCGAAUGCGGCGGUCUUGAAAACCGCUAGUCCGAAAGGGCUCGGGGGUUCGAAUCCCUCACUCUCCGCCA